UCAGGAUGCGGCAGGUGGAAAACAGGGCUCUCAACAGAGCUUUAAUUUGAACUUCUUCUAUUCCUAAAUUGAGCCUGAGCAGAUUUGCUCUGAUUAAGGAGAGAACUUGUUAUGAAUUAAAAAUGACCCAAUUAGGCUGAGAGACAAGUAAAAGCCUACAGCUAGAAAUGAUUCAACAGUCCAGCAGCUUCUAAGAAGCACCCUUUACUAGGCGCGGCUUUACUAGUCGCUAAUGACUGAGGUAGGAGGCCGUGUGCCCUGGAUGAGCUUCAGUCUAGUGAAGAAGGCGUGGAGGGGUGCUCGACAAGGCCAUGAUUAUUAGCAGCACGGAGAGAUGGUGUGGCCGUUGCAAUGAGAUGACCCACAUAGUCGCAACAUAUAAACACUGGGUCCCCAUUAGUGGAGCUGUUUGGGAGGUGUGGCCUCGUGGAGGAAGUGCGUCAGUGGGGGUGGGGGUGGGCUUUGCUGUUUCAAAAGCCUACCACAUUCCCUGUCAGCACUCAGCUUCCUGUACCUGCCACCAUGUCUGAUGCUUGUGAUGAUGUGAUUCCCUGUCAUGAUGGAGACUUAUGUCCAGGUGGCCUUGGCCAUGUUCAAGGAGGAGGGAACUGAGGGGUUCAGGGCACUACAGCAAAAGGAUGCUACAGGCACCACCUUUCCAACCAACGUCGAGGUGAGUGAAUACCGUGAAGGCUUACCAGAUUUACCAAAUGUUACAAAAAGCCGAACCUUGGACCCUGAGGAUGUUUGCCUGUCUUCUGUGAAGUCUAUCUUGAUCCUACUUCUGCUGAAGCCUCCUGAGUGCUGAGAUUACAACGAAAGCACCACUGGGCUCAACUGUGGGACUGACUGCCUUUCUUCCCUACUGAUUCACGUGUAUACGAAAGAAGUGGAAAGGCUGGAGAUUGUCAUGAAUCUGCCACUUCCUUCUUCUGAGGCUCAAAGGAGAGAGCACAAAACUUGAGAGAGUGGUUAACUUUCUGUGAAGAAUAGAAGGCAGAAGUUCUUUUUGAG